CAACCUCAACUCAUAUGGGACUACCCCCUGAAUUUAAGCAUAUUAAUUAGGGGAGGAAAAGAAACUAACAAGGAUUUUCUUAGUAGCGGCGAGCGAAAAGAAAACAGUUCAGCCACUAAGUCACUUUGUCUAUAUGGCAAAUGUGAGAUGCAGUGUAUGGAGCGUCAAUAUUCUAGUAUGAGAAAUUAAUGAUUUAAGUCCUUCUUAAAUGAGGCCAUUUACCCAUAGAGGGUGCCAGGCCCGUAUAACGUUAAUGAUUACUAGAUGAUGUUUCCAAAGAGUCGUGUUGCUUGAUAGUGCAGCACUAAGUGGGUGGUAAACUCCAUCUAAAACUAAAUAUAACCAUGAGACCGAUAGUAAACAAGUACCGUGAGGGAAAGUUGAAAAGAACUCUGAAUAGAGAGUUAAACAGUACGUGAAACUGCUUAGAGGUUAAGCCCGAUGAACCUGAAUAUCCGUUAUGGAAAAUUCAUCAUUAAAAUUGUAAUAUUUAAAUAAUAUUAUUAAGAAUAAUGUGCAUUUUUUCCAUAUAAGGACAUUGUAAUCUAUUAGCAUAUCCCAAAUUUAUCAUAAAAUAUAACUUAUAGUUUAUUCCAAUUAAAUUGCUUGCAUUUUAACACAGAAUAAAUGUUAUUAAUUUGAUAAAGUGCUGAUAGAUUUAUAUUAUUACAGAGCGUUAAUUUUUCGGAAUUAUAUAAUGGCAUAAUUAUCAUUGAUUUUUGUGUUUAUUAUAUGCUCUUGUAUGAUUAACAAUGCGAAAGAUUCAGGAUACCUUCGGGACCCGUCUUGAAACACGGACCAAGGAGUCUAACAUAUGUGCAAGUUAUUGGGAUGUAAACCUAAUAGCGUAAUUAACUUGACUAAUAAUGGGAUUAGUUUUUUAGCUAUUUAUAGCUAAUUAACACAAUCCCGGGGCGUUCUAUAUAGUUAUGUAUAAUGUAUAUUUAUAUUAUUUAUGCCUCUAACUGGAACGUACCUUGAGCAUAUAUGCUGUGACCCGAAAGAUGGUGAACUAUACUUGAUCAGGUUGAAGUCAGGGGAAACCCUGAUGGAAGACCGAAACAGUUCUGACGUGCAAAUCGAUUGUCAGAAUUGAGUAUAGGGGCGAAAGACCAAUCGAACCAUCUAGUAGCUGGUUCCUUCCGAAGUUUCCCUCAGGAUAGCUGGUGCAUUUUAAUAUUAUAUAAAAUAAUCUUAUCUGGUAAAGCGAAUGAUUAGAGGCCUUAGGGUCGAAACGAUCUUAACCUAUUCUCAAACUUUAAAUGGGUAAGAACCUUAACUUUCUUGAUAUGAAGUUCAAGGUUAUGAUAUAAUGUGCCCAGUGGGCCACUUUUGGUAAGCAGAACUGGCGCUGUGGGAUGAACCAAACGUAAUGUUACGGUGCCCAAAUUAACAACUCAUGCAGAUACCAUGAAAGGCGUUGGUUGCUUAAAACAGCAGGACGGUGAUCAUGGAAGUCGAAAUCCGCUAAGGAGUGUGUAACAACUCACCUGCCGAAGCAACUAGCCCUUAAAAUGGAUGGCGCUUAAGUUGUAUACCUAUACAUUACCGCUAAAGUAGAUGAUUUAUAUUACUUGUGAUAUAAAUUUUGAAACUUUAGUGAGUAGGAAGGUACAAUGGUAUGCGUAGAAGUGUUUGGCGUAAGCCUGCAUGGAGCUGCCAUUGGUACAGAUCUUGGUGGUAGUAGCAAAUAAUCGAAUGAGACCUUGGAGGACUGAAGUGGAGAAGGGUUUCGUGUGAACAGUGGUUGAUCACGAGUUAGUCGGUCCUAAGUUCAAGGCGAAAGCCGAAAAUUUUCAAGUAAAACAAAAAUGCCUAACUAUAUAAACAAAGCGAAUAUAAUACACUUGAAUAAUUUUGAACGAAAGGGAAUACGGUUCCAAUUCCGUAACCUGUUGAGUAUCCGUUUGUUAUUAAAUAUGGGCCUCGUGCUCAUCCUGGCAACAGGAACGACCAUAAAGAAGCCGUCGAGAGAUAUCGGAAGAGUUUUCUUUUCUGUUUUAUAGCCGUACUACCAUGGAAGUCUUUCGCAGAGAGAUAUGGUAGAUGGGCUAGAAGAGCAUGACAUAUACUGUUGUGUCGAUAUUUUCUCCUCGGACCUUGAAAAUUUAUGGUGGGGACACGCAAACUUCUCAACAGGCCGUACCAAUAUCCGCAGCUGGUCUCCAAGGUGAAGAGUCUCUAGUCGAUAGAAUAAUGUAGGUAAGGGAAGUCGGCAAAUUAGAUCCGUAACUUCGGGAUAAGGAUUGGCUCUGAAGAUUGAGAUAGUCGGGCUUGAUUGGGAAACAAUAACAUGGUUUAUGUGCUCGUUCUGGGUAAAUAGAGUUUCUAGCAUUUAUGUUAGUUACUUGUUCCCCGGAUAGUUUAGUUACGUAGCCAAUUGUGGAACUUUCUUGCUAAAAUUUUUAAGAAUACUAUUUGGGUUAAACCAAUUAGUUCUUAUCAAUUAUAACGAUUAUCAAUUAACAAUCAAUUCAGAACUGGCACGGACUUGGGGAAU